rnacentral:rRNA from 1 species
UGUUUAGUCUCGUGCGGAAUCCAUCGGCUCACCGAUGGGCGUUCAGGAGAUACUGGCAACCUAGGGACCGGGAGAGGUGAGAGGUACUCCAGGGGUAGGAGUGAAAUCCUGUAAUCCUUGGGGGACCACCUGUGGCGAAGGCGUCUCACUAGAACGGCUCCGACAGUGAGGGACGAAAGCUGGGGGAGCAAACCGGAUUAGAUACCCGGGUAGUCCCAGCUGUAAACGAUGCGCGUUAGGUGUAUCGGUGACCACGAGUCACCGAGGUGCCGAAGAGAAAUCGUGAAACGUGCCGCCUGGGAAGUACGGUCGCAAGGCUGAAACUUAAAGGAAUUGGCGGGGGAGCACCACAACAGGUGGAGCCUGCGGUUUAAUCGGACUCAACGCCGGGAAGCUCACCGGAUAAGACAGCUGAAUGAUAGCCGGGUUGAAGACUCUGCUUGACUAGCUGAGAGGAGGUGCAUGGCCGUCGUCAGUUCGUACUGUGAAGCAUCCUGUUAAGUCAGGCAACGAGCGAGACCCACGCCAACAGUUG